rnacentral:rRNA from 1 species
ACGGGUGAGUAAUACAUCGGAACGUAUCCUGGAGUGGGGGAUAGCCCGGCGAAAGCCGGAUUAAUACCGCAUACGCUCUGAGGAGGAAAGCGGGGGACCUUCGGGCCUCGCGCUCAAGGGGCGGCCGAUGGUGGAUUAGGUAGUUGGUGGGGUAAAGGCCUACCAAGCCGACGAUCCGUAGCUGGUCUGAGAGGACGACCAGCCACACUGGGACUGAGACACGGCCCAGACUCCUACGGGAGGCAGCAGUGGGGAAUUUUGGACAAUGGGGGCAACCCUGAUCCAGCAAUGCCGCGUGUGUGAAGAAGGCCUUCGGGUUGUAAAGCACUUUUGUCCGGAAAGAAAUCAUCGGGGCCAAUACCCCUGGUGGAUGACGGUACCGGAAGAAUAAGCACCGGCUAACUACGUGCCAGCAGCCGCGGUAAUACGUAGGGUGCGAGCGUUAAUCGGAAUUACUGGGCGUAAAGCGUGCGCAGGCGGUGCUGUAAGACCGAUGUGAAAUCCCCGGGCUUAACCUGGGAACUGCAUUGGUGACUGCAGCGCUGGAGUAUGGCAGAGGGGGGUGGAAUUCCACGU